UUACUCGUUUAAGCGCCGCCACCAAUUGCGCGCCAUCCCCGAUUAAGCGCCGCAUAUGCAAAAUUAUACAGAGCGCCGCCCUCGAAUAAGCGCCGCACUUAUUCACAACAUUGCUGCGCUUAAUCGAAGCACUGUCUGUCGCAUUGUGAUUGGUUCGCAACAAAAUAAACAACAAACAACUUUGUGGGCAUAUUACAAAACAGUAUAGUAUGUUGGCUGGCCGUAUUCCUAGCUUCACCAGAUGCUCUGCCCAAUGAUAUGGCCAAAGCUCCGCUGGCUGUUUUUACUGCGCGGUUAGGCGUCACAAACAAUUCUUACGCCCGUAUUCUAAAAGCUCACUCACACUCUAUGAUUGGAGGUUCAAUCUGAGCUUCCCUUGAGGGUCACUGCUGUUUUGAAUAGCUGGAGGGUGAUUAGUCCCAUAGUAAGGUACGGCACUAAUCCUCCAGCUAUUCAAAAACAGCAUUGACCCUCAAAGGAAGCUCAGAUUGAUGAACAUGUAAUUGGUGAAAACUGUAGUGCAACCCUGCCAAUGGAA